UGGGCCAUUGGGACUUAAAAUUGUCGAUUGAGUAUUGCACUUCCAUAAUGUUGGGAAACUUGCAAAAGACUAAUUUUAAAGACAAAGUUCAAAUUGAUGCAGCAUAUAGUAAAUUAUAAUCCCCAUGUGUCAUGACUCCUGCAUCUGACACCUGAGUUUGAGACUGAGUGAGUGUGUUUUGAUUUGAUUUUUCCCUUUGGGUGAGGGAGGCAUGCGUUGUGUGUUUUUGUUUGGUCUGUUUUUCUCUCCUCCUUUCUCUCAGUUAUUGAGUCCUGGGCGUGUCUGGCUUCCUGGGUUGGCACAAGCUGCACCUGCUUGUAAUCACACACCUGUUUCUGAUCAGCCAUCCCUACCCCUUCCUAAGGAGAGGCCAGACCUGCAUUCCCUGCUGAAUUGUUAAGUUGUGUGCUAUUGCCCAUUCAACCCGCUCAGCCUGCCUACCAGUUCCAAGCCUCUGGAGCCACUAAAAGAUCCAACCCUUCCAGCCACACUCCUGCCAGCCAUGCCAACCCAGCCCUCACACUUUCCAAGUGCUUGGAAGGAAACUCCCUGUGUCCUCACUCUGCCUUAGUUUACUCACUGCUUUUAUCAAUAAACUGUUUAAACUGCU